rnacentral:tRNA from 2 species
GGAAGGGUGGCCGAGUGGUUGAAGGCACCGGUCUUGAAAACCGGCAGGGGGUUACGCUCCCUCGUGGGUUCGAAUCCCACCCCUUCCGCCA